rnacentral:lncRNA from 1 species
UUAUAAAGAAAAUUAGUUCCUAUAUUUAAAAGAAAAAAUGGAAAAAAAAAAAGAAAAUGAGAGGAUGUCAUGUGACCUGAAACAAGCCAUAAAACUACAAGAACAAGAGAACAAAAGUCUUUAUAUUCUGCUUUUCCCUCUCCAUUUUUUUUAAUUUCUUUCUCUUUCUAUGCAUUUCUGCUAUUAUAGUUAGUGCGAUUAUUGGAGAGAGAGACAGUGAGAGGUAGAGAGGAACCCACCUCAGUUUUCGCUUUUUAGGAGUAAGCAGCUACUGUAUUGUAUAUUAUAUAUCAUCAUGUGUAAAAGAAUUUAGAGAGAGAAACACGAAAAGAGCUGAGUGAUUAAGUGGGUGUUUACUGUUUAGACAGAAAAGAGUGACACAUAAAAGGAAGAGGAAGAAGAAGAAGAACAAGAAGAAGAAAGAAGAAAGAAGAAGAAAACGAUGAUGGUGAUGAUGAUGAAGAGAGAGAAAGGUGGUUGGCAGAACAGAUAACAACAACAGAAGAUAAUACACAGACCCAAGAUAGAUUUUGAGAGAGAGAGAGAGAGAGAGAGAUAGAGAGAGAGAAAGAGAGAAAAGANNNNN